UGAGAAAACAAUGACUACCAUGCUAGGGGCUUAAAGAUGUAGUACAUGAACAGAAGCACUAUACCAAAAAUACCUUUUGAUUUAUUUAGUGUAGAUUGCAUGUUUUGAAUAAGAAUAUUUGUUCCUUUUGGACUUGAUGUAUUAAGUCAGGAUCAGCACGUCUUAACACAACAUGAACCUGGAGCUAAUUCAAGAUCAGACUUGUGCAACCCACAACCUUCCAUUCUCGGCAGUGGUGGUGUGACAUAAAAGUACAUUUCGUCAUGAUCCUCCAGUUAGAACCCAGAUUGGUUUUCUGGUUCUGAACUACAGGCCUCACUGGGGCACCAUCUGUAUUGUGUGCUUUGGAGAACUGUUCUGAGAGAAGUUUCUGCUGGAAAUGUGAAGAGGCUGACCCUCCGUUGUGGCAAAAUUGAAAGAUCAAACAAAAUUUCAUUGGGAAUACAAUGAUGACAGUAGAAAGAGAAUAUUAUUACUGAGUGAUUAAGAUAACAGGCCAUGAGUCAAUAAAAAGAUGAACCAAAAAAGAACAGAUUUCAAUUUUAAACAUUACUGACGAAUUUUGCAUUUGUCAUGCCAGCACAGGAAUAUUUGCUUCUUGUUUGUCUGCAGUGCAAGAUCAGAUUUUUAUUCUAUAUAUCAUCAGUUACAUGCAACAUAAAAUGCAUGCCAUUAAUGCUCUUACAACAUUCCUUUAAACUAAUCUCACCAGAGCACUGGAUCACUUUUUUUUUUAAACAGUAAGCAUUGUCUGAUUCCUGUGACAAUCCAAUUUUUGCUGAAGGCUGUUCUAUUUGGUUAAAGUCAUGUCCAAAAGAAUCAAGCUUCAAAUUGCUCAUACUUGUGAAUUUCUCAGUCAGGAAGUAACUCUUAUCCCAUCAUUGUGCAUUGGAUUCCACCCAGGCUCUGAGUAAAAAAGGACAAUGUACUGACAUGCAAUAUCCAGUCACAUUAAUCCCUUUAGAUUUUUGAAAGGCCCAUAACGGUGUGCAACCAGCAUCUUGCAAACCACUUGUGGUUUUUCUCUUGACUCUUUGAACACUUUGUUCAGAUGCCCUGCCAAUGACUCAAUGAAUGAGAAAGAAAUACAUCAAGCAGAGAAAAGUAAAUUAGCCACUCCUUAUAAUGACAUAAGGGAGUUACUUGGGUUUCAAUGUGCAGUUAAAUAAAAUCAAUCUUCAGGAAAUAUAUCCUUUCCAUGUCACCGCCACAGUUGCCAGGUUAAUGUUAAACCUAGUGUGAGUGCAAAGUUCUCAUCCUUUUAUCUCAAAUGAUGGUGAUCAUCUUUAUUUCAACAUCACAAACUGUUUGCAAAGUUAAACCUUUGCCAAAUACUAUUUCUUAAACCGACUUUCUGCUGAAAAGGCAUGGCGGGUAAAUAAUUAAUUAUAACUAUAACAUUUAAUAAAAUUAUUGUGUGGCCAAGAUAAGCUUCUGCCUCUUCUUCUGUUUUGUGAGCUGUGCCCCAGCACAUCCAGAAUCCUGUCAAUUGCUUUCCCACUCAUUAGCAAUUGCAUGCCUUCUCUCACUUCUUGCAGCUGGAUCAUUCUCAUCACAUAAAAAUAUAAAUAAGAUAAUUUACACUUUGUUGCAUUAUGUAAAGAAUUUUUUCACCCAAAUUUCUAUCAGAAGUUGAUAAACGCCUGAGGUCUAUGUGGAGAAAUUAAGGGCGAGAUUUUCCUUCUUACUGCAAUAGUGGCACAUUUUCCUGAUCCCCUGCAUCUCAGAUGAGUCUGGAUAGAAUAGUUUGAGUAUUGGUUGUGAAGUCUAUUCCUUUUUCUAUAUAUCUGUUCAUACCCCUUCACCCCACCUACUGAAACUUUUCAGUCUCCCCUUAUCUUCAAUACUUCUAUCUUUCACAAGCGAUCAUCUUCUGCUUUUUCCAGCAUGAAUUCACCACCAAGCUCUUUCCUUUCCCCUGUCUGUUCAGCAGUCAAAGGGCUCAUUUCCUAGGAACAUCUUGAUUCCCUCUUCCAUCAGCACAAGCAUCCCUCCCUUUAUCAUGGCCCCAUCCCAUACAACUGCAGCAUCAGUCCUUAUAAUUCCCUCUAGGGAUGCAAACAUUUUUCCAAAAGGAGCAGUGAAUGCUUCUUUCAAUGAGAUUUACCCUAUCUUCAAUAAUGGGGCAUUCCAGAAGUAAAUUGAUGACUUGAGCUACUUCCUUUCAGCAUUGAACUCUGAUUAUCAUGCUCUAGUCUAUCAUAACUUUAGGCCACUAUCCCACUUUCCUUGUGUGCUCUUGGCAUAUGGCCAUCAAUGCUGUUUCACUGAACCUCUAUGUAACCUCAGAGUACAACAAUUCAUCUUUCAACUAGCUCCAAGCUGGGCAUGUACUGUAAUCUGGUGAAUACAUGUCUUAAUCCUUCUCAUUGAUCAGAGGGCAGCCAUGCAUUACAACAAAUUCUUUAAUAUUUGCAGUCUUUGGAAAGUUUAACAUUUGCUUCAUUAUGCCUUAACCAUUUGUUGCCAGAGGCUGGAACUUGUGACUUUUGUACUUCUGAUUGCAAUUCAGAUCCACAUCCUUUUCAUGGGAAAGCAAAUGAUCAAAGUCCCAUAGUAUGGGAGAAUUGAGAGGAGAAUAAUUUGCAUAAGAAACCAAAUACUGUGCAAGCCUCAGCCACAAAUGCAAAGGAGGGCCCUGAAAAAAGGGGAGCAAGAACAUUUUUUUGAUAUCAAGUAAAUAGUUGGAAGCAAACCAUUACACAUAUGUCAAUGGUUUUGAAUUGCUCAAAUUGUUUAAUUGUAAUCACAAUAGGAAUACUGGAGUGCAUGCCCAAUGCCAUAUUUUAAAAGCAAAAAUAUUUUCAUCUGUGUACAGUUCUUCCUAUGGCCCUUAAAAUUUGAAAGGUUCCAACCUUGACAUAUUAGAACAACUUACCUAACCCAAGAAUAAAACCCCAAUUGUACUGUAGCUGAUUUAUAGAAACCAAUCAGCACAUGAGUGCCAUUACAAAGGCACAACAAUGCCUCUACUUUCUUACUAGUGUGCACAGAUUCAACAUGUCAUCUAAAACUUUGACAGACUUCUAUAGAUGCACAACAGAGUAUCCUGACUGGUUGCAUCAUGGCCUGGUACAGAAACACCAAUGUCUAGGAAUGGAAAAGCCUAUGAAAUGGGAUGGAUUCAGCCCAGUCCAUCACAGGUCAAGCCCUCCCUGCCAUUGAGCACAUCUACAAGGAGCACUGCCCUGUCACAAGGGGGACAUGGAGACUGGACCCAAAUGCAGGACGCAGGCACUGAAGUACUAGGGACAGGACAGGAACAACUAAAGGAUAGAACAGAUGGGGAGCCCAUGGCAUGCAACAGUGAUGCUGGGGUUCAGGGAGUUCAUGGCAAAGGCAGGACCUUGGCUAGGCUAAAGGAUGGGUCUAUGGGACAAGGAAUACUGGGAUAGCUCCCUGGGCAGGCCACAUUACUUCUGGGCAGGGCCCAGCCUCCCAAGCAGAAACACAGGGGCCUGAACAGGAUGCAGGGCACAACCCAUCAGAAGCAAGGGGUAGGAAAGGGUCAGUCCUCAGGGCAGGCCACAUAGCUCCUGUACAAGGCCACCUCCCAGGCAGGAACACAGGGACCUGAGCAGGUCAGAGGGCACCUGGGCAGGUUGCAGGGCACAACCCAUCAGAAGCAAGGGGUAGGAAAGGGUCAGUCCUCAGGGCAGACCACAUAGCUCCUGUGCAAGGCCACCUCCCAGGCAGGAACACAGGGACCUGGGCAGGUUGCAGGGCACAACCCAUCAGAAGAGGGGUAGGAAAGGGUCAGAGCCCCCCACCAGGCAACAGCAGUCCAGCCUGCUUACCCAACAGAGGCAAGGGUUCAGAUAAAGCUCAGUCCAGGGUGACUACGAGAACAGACUUACAGAACUAGGUGAUUAACAGUGGGUACUCCAAGCCAGGGUCAAAACAGGAUAGCCAGGCCAACAGCACAGCCAAGGCAAACCAGACAGAGCAGCAGGUGCAUGACAAAACAGACCAGGACCAAACUCAGUCCCAGAGUCCCUUAUAUACACCUGCCAGCCGAUAGGUCUCAGGUGCACCUCCUUAAGCCAGGAUGAUCCUAUUUGGGCUUAAGGGUGAAAGGAGGGACAGCUACAAGACCCAGAGUCCGGAGUCUGUGGACCGGAUCAAGACCCGGAAUGUGGGCUCCGGACCGGACCAUAACAUGCCCCAAAAGAGCAGCAUCUAUCAUAAAGGAUUCACACCACCCAGGCCAUACUCUCCUCUCACUGCUACCAUUGGGAAGGAGGUACAGAAGCCUUAGGUCCCACAACACCAGGUUCAGGAACAGUUAUUACCCAUGAGGCACUUGAACCAGUAUGGAUAAUUUCACUGAGCUCAACAUUGAACUGAUCACUGAACAAGGACUCUACAACUUACAUUCUCAGUAUUAUUUAUUUAUCAUUAUGAUGAUGAUUUUGUAUUUGCACGUUGUUUGGUUGUCAGUUGUAUGUUGUUUAUCAUUGAUUCUGUUGUAUUUCUUUGUUCUACUGUAAACACCUGCAAAAAAAUGACUAUAUGGUGACAUGUACAAUAUGUAUUUUGCUAAUAAACUUACUUUGACUCUG